rnacentral:rRNA from 1 species
CCCAGACUCCUACGGGAGGCAGCAGUCGGGAAUAUUGCGCAAUGGAGGAAACUCUGACGCAGUGACGCCGCGUGCAGGAAGAAGGUUUUCGGAUUGUAAACUGCUUUAGACAGGGAAGAUAAUGACAGUACCUGUAGAAUGAGCUCCGGCUAACUACGUGCCAGCAGCCGCGGUAAUACGUAGGGGGCAAGCGUUAUCCGGAUUCACUGGGUGUAAAGGGAGCGUAGACGGCGACGCAAGUCUGGAGUGAAAGCCCGGGGCCCAACCCCGGGACUGCUCUGGAAACUGCGGCGCUGGAGUACGGGAGGGGCAGGCGGAAUUCCUGGUGUAGCGGUGAAAUGCGUAGAUAUCAGGAGGAACACCGGCGGCGAAAGCGCUUUACUGGACCAUUAUUGACGCUGAGGAACGAAAGCCAGGGGAGCAAAUGGGAUUAGAUACCCCGGUA